GUAACUCUUCACUAUGGUAUUUCACGAUAGUUUUAAAGCUUUUUAAACCAUAUUUUAGAAGUUGGAGCUGGAGGAGAAGUGCCGUCUUUGACCUAGUGUCCAUACUGUUAACCUGCUGUCCUUUACUGGCUAUCAGCUCUCUUCAAUUUUGAGAGCUUGUUGUGUGUCUUGUUGCUGAUGAUUUGCACAUGUACCUACAUCAGAUCAUUUGCACCUUCCCUACUUGACAGACAAAAAACAGGACUUGUAGGAACAUUCUGGAAGAUGGCAAGAAUAGGGGAAAGAAAAAGCCCAUGGGUUGCUGCAGCUUGUAUUUUUAUGGCAG